ensembl:lncRNA
AUGUGAUCCCAGAAGAGAGGACACAUAAGGCCGGCGUCCUGGCACUGCUGCAGUGAGGUUGGAGAUGGAGACAGACGAAUCCCCGGAAGUUCAUGAGCCAGCUAGCCUGGGGUACAUAGCAGCGAAUGGUAAAGAGAUCCCAACUCUAAACAAGAAAAAAAUGAAGACAAGACCAGGUUUGUCCUCUACACCCUGGUACAUGCCAGCACAUACAAACACACACACAUACAUGCAUAUACAACACACAGAGAUGUGUGCGAACAUCCAGCCAUGUGUGAGGAAGCUUAAACAGCCAUGUGGAAAAGCUCCUGGCCCACCUACCAUCCCAGACACUAACCACCAGUGCCCUGGGGCAUGUGAAUGGGGAGUGGCUGAUGUGUGAUUCCAUGUCAUUCUUAGGCCGUGUCUUCAACUGAAGAAAGGAAGAGAAGCUGCAAGCAGAGCUCCUGCACCCAACACAGCCUGAUCUAAAUAGGGGCUCACAGAACAUUGGAAUGAGGGUAAAAACUUCAUCUAUAAACCAAGUUCCCAGUUUGGCCUCUGUGAUGGCUACUCUUGGUUGUCAAUGUGAUUAUAUCUGGAAUGAACUACAAUCCAGUAGUGGAUAGCACACCUGUGAUUGGAUCUUGAGGCAGGAAGACAACACACCUUUGAUCCGGAUCUUGAGGCAGGAAGGCAUACCUUUAAUCUGGGCACACCUUCCGAUGGAAGCCUCUAUAAAGAUGUGCUUGGCCGCAUCUUGUCAGCGCAUCCAUUCCUUCACUGGCAUUGAGCCUAUUUCUUCAGGAUCCAGCAUCUACAGAAGACCAGCUGAGAUACCAGGCCUCAUGGGACUGGGAACUACUAGAGUCUUGAACUUUCCAUUCACAGCUAGCCAUUGUGGGCUUGCAGCCUCAGGCAUUAUGACAACCCAUGCAAUGGCUCAGUGAACAAGAGCUCCGACUGUGGACAUGAGCGGUUCAGAGGAACAAGCACGUCACACUGGUCUCCAGCUUCAUGGGAAAAUCCUGGCACCAGCAUGGAAGUAGUUUAACUGCUCUUCUGCGCUGAGAAAAAUGUCAGCAGCCAGCUGCUCACCAGGUCCAGAGGAUAAUUUUGCAAGGUUGCUUGGCUCACAGAAGUUCCCCAUGAGAGGACCCUUCCCUGCCUCUCUUCUCCUUGGAAGACACAGGGACACUGAGAGGAGCCUGAAUGGACAAGCCUGAUGACAUUUCCCCACUGUGACACUUAGCUAAACACCCAUCACUCUCUUCCACUCCCCACCCUCUCCUGAAUUCAGCGUACAAUGCAUGCCUGCUUCUUCAGCUCUUCAUUUCCUUACCCAGACUCCCCAUGUCACAAAAAUGUAUAUAUACAAUUUAUAUAAAAUUAGUAUGCAUGUUUCCCUUGUUACUCUGUCUUCUGUUAUGAGGAAUUGAGAACUUAAAAAAUUAGAAGGAAAAUCUAUCUUUCAAGUCAGGUAUGAGGCACACACCUGUAAUCCCAGCACUUAGGAAACAGAGGCAGGAGGAUCCUGAGCCAGCCUGGGCUACAUAGUGAGGGUCUGUCUUAAAAUACCAAGAAAGGCCAGGCAUGAUGGGGG